rnacentral:rRNA from 1 species
GACGAACGCUGGCGGCGUGCCUAACACAUGCAAGUCGAACGGAGUUAACCCGCUGAUUUGACGGUAGCUUGCUACAAGAUUUUCUUGGGAUAACUUAGUGGCGGACGGGUGAGUAACGCGUGAGGAACCUGCCUUUCAGAGGGGGACAACAGUUGGAAACGACUGCUAAUACCGCAUAACGUACCGAGGGGACAUCCCCAUGGUACCAAAGCUUUAUGUGCUGAAAGAUGGCCUCGCGUCUGAUUAGAUAGUUGGUGAGGUAACGGCUCACCAAGUCUGCGAUCAGUAGCCGGUCUGAGAGGAUGAACGGCCACAUUGGGACUGAGACACGGCCCAGACUCCUACGGGAGGCAGCAGUCGGGAAUAUUGCGCAAUGGAGGAAACUCUGACGCAGUGACGCCGCGUAUAGGAAGAAGGUUUUCGGAUUGUAAACUAUUAGUCGUUAGGGAAGAUACAAGACAGUACCUAAGGAGGAA